UACAGAGGUCCCGAGCGUUGUUCGGAUUCACUGGGCGUAAAGGGUGCGUAGGUGGCGAGGUAAGUCGGAUGUGAAAGCUCGGAGCUCAACUCCGAAGUGGCAUUGGAAACUACCUUGCUCGAGGGUUGGAGGGGGGACUGGAAUACUUGGUGUAGCAGUGAAAUGCGUAGAUAUCAAGUGGAACACCAGUGGCGAAGGCGAGUCCCUGGACAACUCCUGACACUGAGGCACGAAAGCUAGGGGAGCAAACAGG
rnacentral:rRNA from 1 species